rnacentral:lncRNA from 1 species
GUGGAUAUGGCAAAAAUUUACGUCGAAGCUGUUGGCGGGUUGAAUAAAAAGAAGAAAAUGUUCGGUGUUGGUGGGCUCGCAACGAGCUUUAUGAAUGAAGAUUUGGGUAGAACAUCUCAAUUCCACCCUCCGGCUCAUGACCAACGCUUGGUCGAUGUGGAGCAGCAACUACAACAAGAACGAGAGGAACAUAGACAGAAG